rnacentral:misc_RNA from 1 species
UUUCCGUAGGUGAACCUGCGGAAGGAUCAUUACAGAGUUCAUGCCCUCACGGGUAGAUCUCCCACCCUUGAAUAUUUAUACCUUAGUUGCUUUGGCAGGCCGUGGAAACACCAUGGGCUCCGGCUUAUGCGUGCCUGCCAGAGGAAACAAACUCUGUUUUUAGUGAUGUCUGAGUACUAUUUAAUAGUUAAAACUUUCAACAACGGAUCUCUUGGUUCUG